CCUACGGGAGGCAGCAGUAGGGAAUCUUCCGCAAUGGACGAAAGUCUGACGGAGCAACGCCGCGUGAGCGAAGAAGGCCUUCGGGUCGUAAAGCUCUGUUGUCAGGGAAGAACAAGUACCGGAGUAACUGCCGGUACCUUGACGGUACCUGACGAGAAAGCCACGGCUAACUACGUGCCAGCAGCCGCGGUAAUACGUAGGUGGCAAGCGUUGUCCGGAAUUAUUGGGCGUAAAGCGCGCGCAGGCGGUCCUUUAAGUCUGAUGUGAAAUCUUGCGGCUCAACCGCAAGCGGCCAUUGGAAACUGGGGGACUUGAGUGCAGGAGAGGGAAGUGGAAUUCCCAGUGUAGCGGUGAAAUGCGUAGAUAUUGGGAGGAACACCAGUUGCGAAGGCGGCUCUCUGGACUGUAACUGACGCUGAGGCACGAAAGCGUGGGGGGCGAACAGGAUUAGAUACCCUAGUAGUC
rnacentral:rRNA from 1 species